ACUCCUACGGGAGGCAGCAGUAGGGAAUCUUCCACAAUGGGCGCAAGCCUGAUGGAGCAACACCGCGUGAGUGAAGAAGGGUUUCGGCUCGUAAAGCUCUGUUGUUAAAGAAGAACACGUAUGAGAGUAACUGUUCAUACGUUGACGGUAUUUAACCAGAAAGUCACGGCUAACUACGUGCCAGCAGCCGCGGUAAUACGUAGGUGGCAAGCGUUAUCCGGAUUUAUUGGGCGUAAAGAGAGUGCUAGGCGGUUUUCUAAGUCUGAUGUGAAAGCCUUCGGCUUAACCGGAGAAGUGCAUCGGAAACUGGAUAACUUGAGUGCAGAAGAGGGUAGUGGAACUCCAUGUGUAGCGGUGGAAUGCGUAGAUAUAUGGAAGAACACCAGUGGCGAAGGCGGCUACCUGGUCUGCAACUGACGCUGAGACUCGAAAGCAUGGGUAGCGAACAGGAUUAGAUACCCUGGUAGGAUAGCG
rnacentral:rRNA from 1 species